GCGUGAGAGGCAGGUCAUCGCUUUGCCCCUCCAUCUCCCACGUCGCCCCUUUCCUCGCCACACGGAGUCGAAGGGGAAAGAAGAGGUUGAGUCGGGCUUCUCCUUGCGUCGGGUUUUCUCCUCGGUUUCGACUCCGUCCACCCCGCUUCCUCGCCUCCUCCCCUUCUGCCGGCCCAUUUUCCAAUUUUCGGGUUUCCUCCCUUCCGCUCGACUCGUUGCGUGAAGAGGAGCUUCAGCGACGCGAGCUGUGAUGGGCACCGGGGGCAAGGUUGGCCAGAAUUUUUUGCAUGUUCGGGGAUGGCUUCAUGUAUAUUCAUUCAGUUGUUGUCGUACUCCAAUUUAGUAUUCAUGGUUUCCUUGGCCUAUAGAAAUAUAUGCACAUCAAGGAGCAUAGAGCUGCCAUUUACAUCCAGGUGUUCUAGAUAUCCUAAUGAUGUAUGGUGCAUUUCAACAUCACGUCGAUUAGCUGUUACCCGAACAUCACGUCUAUUUUAUAUGUUAAAGAUCUUAAAAGUCUCUCAAUUGACCUAUUGGUUCCCGGCAUGUUGGUUAAUGCUCAAGUGACUUCAGUUCUUGAGAAUGGGAUAAUGCUAUCAUUUCUUAUACAUACUUCACUAGAUAUGUAUGGCUUUUUAAUUUUUUCAUUGCUUAUAUAUUUUUUGAAGGUGCAAGACUUUGGAAUUGAAUAAGAUACAUUCACCUAGUGACUUAUAAUCUAUAACUGGAAUAUGGAAAGAUAAUUAUGCUCAGAACAAACACAUUCUCAUUAUCGAUGAGUUAGUUACCAUGCUUUCUAAUUCUUUUUUUUUUUUUUGACACGAGCUACACCAAAUAGUGAAUGCAGUCGUUGAAAUGGUAGCCCCUGCGUGUGCUCAGGCAGUAUUGAACGAGAUUUUAUUAGUCACUAAGCGUCCUGCAAUUGCUGCAAUUGUAUCAGAAUGCCUUGUAGCUUCCUCAUUUGAGACUGUCAGAGGUUGGGACAGCUUUAAAUCGUUACUAUCCCCAAGUGGGCACAUGUCCUUCUGGUUCAGACCAUUUGUGCACACCAGGGUGGUUGACUAUUCUGUCGGGCUGUUCCCUCUAUCACAGGACUUGUGUUGUCUGAUCACUGGCCUCAUUAAUAGCACUAUCCAGGUCUUCAUGGUUCCCAACAAUUGUAUUCAUUGUUUGGGGAUUCCAGGAGGCAUUACAGUGCACUACAUGGUGUCCUAGUUGCUGGCAUCCGGUGCAAAGCUUCAAUGUAGAUUCAAAAUGCAGCUGUAAAUCCACUUCACUCCCAUCCCGUAGGGUUGCUUCAUUGUGGCCAAUAGAUCAAUUACUUAUUGCUAUGAAAGGAGGUUUUUGUCCUACUUUUCUGAUAGUUUUAGAGGAUGUGGGUGAUACAUAUGCAACUUUAGCACUAAUGUAUGGAUAUGAUGCUAGAUAUGCUCCUUCAACAAGUCAUUCAAGCUAUAGAAUAAUUGCACUAGUGGUCGUGUUGUCAUCAAUUCUUCUGAAAUGAGCAUCUCAUUCCCUUUAAAAUAAAGAGAUCAAAUGCUCGAUUAUGUCCUGAGAUUGAUGGGUGAGAUGAGAAUGAGUUGGUUGAUUCAAGCUGCAAACUCAGACUCUUGCUUUGUGUGCGUGUAAAACUCGGGUUUUAGUGGAACCAUGAUUGAAGCUAGAAACCGCAUUCUAAAGGCGACUUUCAGUUUCUUUGUUUUACCAAGUGAUCCUUCCGAUAUUAUCCAUCCACUUGUAGACAAUUUAAUUUCAUUAUUAUGCGCUAUUCUUUCAACCAGAUGUUUUUUUCCUAUAUCUUCUCUAAUGCUUGCACAUUUUCCCACAUGAAGAGCGGCAGUCCUAAGUCUAGCCUUGACUCUCAGUGGAUUUGUUACUUUGGAGUACUGGCUGAUAGCUCAUUCAUAAGGCGGUUUGCUGCUAGAAUGCUUAUUGGGAAGAAACCUGCCCAAGCAUUGCUCCCUACCAACAAAAGUCUAUUACAAAGCUGUGUGUGAAAACGACAAAUGGGGUGAGAUAAUCGAAGGUUUUUGUUGAGAUUGAAGAUGUUGAGCCUAGCAAAAUGAGUUUAAAGGAAAUUGAAGGAAGAUUGUGAUCAUGCGUAAAGGUGGAAACUAUCUCUCAAAGAAAUAGUGUUUGGAAGGACAACUAGAAAGAGCAUGCUGUGAAAAGAACUCCUUCAAUGAGUGAGCUCAAUGAAAUAAUGCUGGGCAGGGCUGCUGAUAUUAAAACAUGAAAUCAAGCAAUGGAAUGCUUUACCAUUUUUUGUGAGCUCUACAAAAUCAUGAAAGAGCAAGAAUCCCAAGGUUUCCGGUGAAGGCAUUUCAUGGAUGGUAUCUACAGUUGAAGACUUUGGAAUUACGCCUAUAAAGUUAAAGAUUACAAGUGACACCAGGAAGCUUGUCUAUCACGCUCAAAUCAUAUUGCUCGAGUUGAUGCUUGCACGGAUUUGUUUUCUUGCUGUGUUGGGAGUUAAAUUCAUUCCAUUCUGCCCUGAUAACUACUGCUCUUUUGUAAUUUGAGAGCUUGCUUUUCUUGGAUGCUAAGAUUUCUAUAAUUGCAGAGUCAGGUUUUCUGGUGUUUGGGGGACGAAAUCUACUUGAGCUGUUUUUGAAUUCUUUCAGAAGACUUGAUAAGCUGCUGAAAUGAUAGAUUCACACACUAGAACAAUUUGCAGCCACGAACUUUCAGGACUCUUAUUCACAAAAAGGAACUGAAACUUACAAGAGAUUGAUGCCUUGCUGCUAAACUCAAGUAAAACUCCGGAUGUUUUUCCGUGUUUUGCAAGAGUGAACUAAAGGUACUUAUAAAGAAGAGAAAAGCGUGAACUGGGUGCUCAUUGGGUCCAUCAUCAUUCACGGAUUCCUUCUUUAGCACCUUUCCAAUGAAGUCUAUACAACUUUCCAACAAAGUCUAUAUGACUUAUCUUACUUUUUAGGCUUUAUUUCUGAUAACAAGUGAGUGGCUCCUCGAGGCUCAAUACAUUGUUAUGGGGAAUCAAGGUUAAUUAGCUGUUCCUUUCAUGGCGGCGUGUUCUUGAUGCUUUUUAUGACAUCCUGUAGUUGAAAGUAGCUUUUCCAGAGCUCAAGGCGUGCUGCUUUGGCAUUUGAUAGUUGUUUCAACUGUACCAAUAAGUUUCUUUUCCUUCAUGGUGGCUUCUGCGUUGGAAGUCGUAUUCUUUGAUAACUUCCUUUGGAAGAGUUGUUGUUAGCUUCUUAGCUUCAAGUUUGGCUAUUCUUUCUUCAAUAUGCAGCAGCUUCUCCUGUAUUUGUACUAAAAGUUGUAUUUGUGUAUUACCUUGCUUCAGUAAAGCUCCUGAGCUAGAGGUUGGUUCUUUGUACUCAGCUGGUCUGCAAAAACCAAUAGCAGGUGCCUCGAUUUCUUCUGUAGCUUGGACGGCGUCUCUAUAACUCUGGCUGGCUUGGGUGUUGAUAUAGCUCAUGUGCCAGUCCAAGAUUCUACCUUAUGUAGUAAGGUUUCAACUCGCUCCAGCUUUUUCUUUAAUUCUGCAGAUAAUUGUAAAGCAUAUUUUUCUAUCAACUUGGGUUGCUCUACUAUUUUUAGGAUCAACUCUUGAACUUUAGACUCUGUAAGGGGUCUGUUGUCUAUUACCUCUUUUAUUAGGUUUACUAGGGCUUUGUUUGUCUUUUGGUUUUCCUUUUUCAAAAACUCCAAUUCCUCAAGUAUGGUUUUAAAGUUUUUAAGGUGGUCUCGACAAGAUAAACAAACACGGUCGUAUACAACUGAUAAGUUGUCUGAUAAGUUGUGAGCUAGUUCUUUUGUUGAUGGCUUUGUUUCAACUAGGUCAAGGUCUUCUAAGUUCGAGGUAUCAGAUUUUGAGUACCACUCUUCUAUAGCUUCUUCCCAACGUCUUGACAUUUAACCAAGAUCAUUUACGGCUUAGUGAGUGCUAGUUUGUUUUCUUGCUCACCCGACGGACUGCUGCUACCUCCUGCAGUCUUACGCGUACUGUGGUCUUUUGCAAUCUACUGGUAGCUACUCAGGUCGCCUUAUUAUGAACUGGGCAAAUCUCUUGAAAUUUGGCAGCCUUCAAAAGCUAUGGUUAAAUCAUUACCCCAGGGACCUCUCCUUUUGAAUACCUUGGCUAAGAGGUUUAGUUAGCCAUAUGAACAACAAGCUCUGAUACCAAAAAAAGAAAGCGUGCUUCUAAUUGCAAAUAAGAGAUAAUGAACAAGAACUAGAAAGAACUUUCAGGACUCCUAUUCACAAAAAGGAACUGAAACUUACAAGAGAUUGAUGCCUUGCUGCUAAACUCAAGUAAAACUCCGGAUGUUCAUUGAAUUUGUUCAUAUCCCUAAAUGAUUUGUUCAUUGAAUUUGAAAAUGUAAGUUUCUUUUUUGUUUUAUUGAUGCGAAAUGUAUUUUCUAUAUGACUCGUAACUCAUUGCAUUUGUUUUUUUAUUUUCAACACUUUAACACUCUCCUAGAUCAUUCAUUACAAGAUAUGCUCACUGAAAAUAUGUUGUCUUGCAAAUACUUCUUCUUCUGAGUUAAUUAGAAUUUAUAGCAAAUAACAAACAUUCUCCAGUUCAAACAUACUGCACUUUUAAGUUAUUUCAUUAUGCAGGCACUAACUUUUCUAAAUAUUUUAAAGCACCAUGUUGUUCUUUUACUGUUGGUGCAUAAAAUUUUAUUUCUGUUAGACAUGUAAACACAUUUAAAGUUAAAUUGAUUCAUGAGGUGAACAUAUUCUAUUCUUACAGAUAUGCCUUGUGCUUUUUGGCUGUGAAAUAGAUGUUAUCUUUUUGAAAUGCAUUUUGUGGUGUAUUGAAGGUCGGAAAAUGAUCAUUGUGUUUUAUAGCCAUUGAGUGUUGACAUGAUCACUUAUUUUGUUACUGCCAAGUCAUGGAGUUUGUUCAUUCUCCAUAAGUUAAUUGGAUUUCUUACUUAAAUUUUGCCCUACCUGCUGAGUUGAUGGCUGGUGGACGUGUGUGCAUGUAACAUUGAACUUGUAAAACUUACAAAAAAAAAUGCCUCAUUUGGUCAAAUAAGUUUACCAUGUAGAAGAUAUUAGAAUAUUUUGUUAUCUUGGCCUAUUCUACUAUGUAAGUUCAUUUUUCGACUCUUUCUCCCAACUCCAUUUUGGUCUAAAUAUGAUCAUAGCAUAAUAAAAGUUUGCAAUUGUUUUUUUCUUUGUAUGCUUUUCUUGAUAUUUUAUACACCAGAUGGACAAUUAUCAACAAGGAGUUUAUAUUGCUGAGACUAAUAUUCUAGGCAACCAAAAGGCUGUUUUAAGGUUCAUGGUGAUCAAGAUGGAUUGGUAUGCUUACAUGGCUUAACCUGUACUUUUCAAGAGUUUAAAUUUGUGCAAAAUAAAUUCCUUCCCUUAUCAAAGGGGAAUGCACCAACUUACCUUUCAAUAAUUCAAAGAGAGAUAAGUAAAAAAAAAAUCCAUAAACACAAUGAAAAAAGACACAAGAAAGGGAAGAAGAAGAAUGGUAAAUCUUAUUUUACUUUGCUACUGAUGUUAAAUACUAACAUGUAUAUUUUUAUAGUUCAUGUGGAGAAGGCAAAGACUGCCCAAGAGGAAUCAAGGGAAUUGUUGCUGAUGGAGUAAAUAACUAUCCGUCAUUGGGUUAA